rnacentral:rRNA from 1 species
AGCGGCGCACGGGUGAGUAACGCGUGGGUAAUCUCCCUUGGUGACUGGGAUAACAGCGGGAAACUGCUGCUAAUACCGGAUAUACUUCAUGUUUAACUUCAUGGGGAAAAGGUGGCCUCUGCUUGCAAGCUACCACACCGAGAUGAGCCCGCGUCUCAUUAGCUAGUUGGUAAGGUAAUGGCUUACCAAGGCUACGAUGAGUAGCUGGUCUGAGAGGAUGACCAGCCACACUGGGACUGGAACACGGCCCAGACUCCUACGGGAGGCAGCAGUGGGGAAUAUUGCGCAAUGGGCGAAAGCCUGACGCAGCGACGCCUCGUGAGGGAUGAAGGUCUUCGGAUCGUAAACCUCUGUCAAGAGGGAAGAAACCUAAGGGUUCAAAUAGGGCUCUUAGCUGACGGUACCUCAAAAGGAAGCACCGGCUAACUCCGUGCCAGCAGCCGCGGUAAUACGGAGGGUGCAAGCGUUAAUCGGAAUCACUGGGCGUAAAGCGCUCGUAGGCUGUUCGGUAAGUCAGAUGUGAAAGCCCUCGGCUCAACCGGGGAACUGCAUUUGAUACUGCCAGACUUGAGUGUCGGAGAGGGUGGCGGAAUUCCGGGUGUAGGAGUGAAAUCCGUAGAUAUCCGGAGGAACACCAGUGGCGAAGGCGGCCACCUGGACGACAACUGACGCUGAGGAGCGAAAGCGUGGG